UAGUCCACACCGUAAACGCUGUCUACUAGCUGUGUGUGUCUUUAAGACGUGCGUAGCGAAGCUAACGCGCUAAGUAGACCGCCUGGGAAGUACAGUCGCAAGACUAAAACUCAAAGGAAUUGACGGGGGCCCGCACAAGCGGUGGAUUAUGUGGUUUAAUUCGAAGCAACGCGCAGAACCUUACCUAGACUUGAAAUCCUACGAACCUGGUGUAAUGACCGGGGUGCUCGCAAGAGAAUGUAGAGACAGGUGCUGCAUGGCUGUCGUCAGCUCGUGUUGUGAAAUGUUGGGUUAAGUCUCGCAACGAGCGCAACCCCUAUCCUUAGUUGCCAGCAUUUAGUUGGGCACUCUAGGGAGACUGCCUGGGCAACCAGGAGGAAGGUGGGGAUGACGUCAAGUCCUCAUGGGCCCUUAUGUCUAGGGGCUACACACGUAAUACAAUGGGUACAUACAAAGGGAAGCGACCCAGCGAUGGGUGAGCAAAUCU
rnacentral:rRNA from 1 species